ACUACUCAUUGAUCGUCUAGUGUAGAAUCAUCUCACCAGCGCAAGCAUGAAUGUGAAACCCACAACUGUGUUGGUGCUACUGGCGUGCUUCAGCCUCAUGGUGCCUACAGACGCCGCCAUAUUAUCGGCCAUACCAGGGAUCAUAUUGGUGAAAAAAGCGAUCUUCGCAGGGAAAAUACCGUUUAAAAUAGGGUUCAUCCCCGAAAUUGUGAAUGGAAAGAAAAAGUUUAUUAAUAUGUUAAAAGUUGCAAAUAUAGCUUUCAAACCCCCUUUCGCAGUCUAAUAACUUUGUAUUGGUUAUUUUCAAUAUUGCUUCAGCUUCUUGUAUAAAUUGUAGUAAUUGCUUCUACUUCUUUACAUUAUACUUCCAGUUUGUCAAUUUAAUAUUCUGUUUGAGGAAUCACGAAAGCAAAUCAAGUUUUAUAGGCGAGUGACUUUUGAACCGCACCAAUAUAUUUAAUUUAUUUUGAAUUUAGCUAUGUGGUUCUUGCGAUUCCUUAACAUUAUUUAUAAGUGAUAUUUUUCUGUACUGAAAUCAUGUUUGCACUCCCCUUUUUAGGGAACAUACUUGACAACAUUAUUUUUCGUUAGAAGGGGAGCGAUGUUCAUAUAUUUAAUGAAUAAAGUCCUUUGUUUA
rnacentral:lncRNA from 1 species